UAUUGCCGAGAAGCCCCUCCCCAGUGAGUAUCACCAGGAAAUGCCCGUCUCAUCCAGUGCUGAAUGCAGAGGGUUUGUUAUUGUACAUUUCUGAUCAUCUGAUAGGAGUUAUCUUCUUUGAUUUAUCAUAUUCGUGUCUCUUGUCAUGUCUUCAGAAGAAUUUGAGAAACUGCAUGAACAGUAUAGGGCAGUAUACGAAGAACUUAGCCAUGCGUCUGGACAGGCUGGGAGAUGUUUUGGAGAAGAAAGAAAGCGUCUCAUACGGAACUUCAAUGAACAGUUUGAAGAAGCAAAUGAAAUGCUGGAAGGGAUGGAGGAAGAACUGAGACAGGCACCUCACUCAUUUCGUAACCAGAUGGUAACCAAGAUUAGAGGCUACAGGAGGGACCUUGGCAAGCUUCAACGGGACAUAAAAAGCACUGAUUUAGGUCUGGGGCCCAGGAACCAAGCAGAAUACAAACACACACCCUACAAUGAAAAAGAUGAAGAACAGGCUCAGCUGAAGUCCCAAAGAGGGCUGCUGCUGCAGGGUACAGAAAGCCUUAAUCGUGCCAGUCAGAGCAUUGAGCGAUCACAGAAGGUUGCUAUCGAAACAGACCAUAUUGGUGCAGAGAUUAUUGGAGACCUUGAGCAACAGAGGGAUCAACUCGUACGGACAAAGGACCGGCUGGUGCACACUGGGGAAGACCUUAGCAGAAGUCGAAAGAUCCUACGCUCCAUGUCUCGAAAGUCGUGAAGUGGUGAAAAGACAGCUGCUAGUAAAAUUUUGAAGUGUUUGUAACAGAAGGGAUUUGUGGGAUUGUGACAAAUAAGUUAUUGCUGUCCUUCAUCAUUAUUGUGGAGCUCGGCAUCUUGGGAGGUGUUGUAUACCUGAAGUUCUUCCGUAAAUAGUGGCAGUGAUC